rnacentral:rRNA from 1 species
AGGACACUCUAUACGGAGUUACAAAGGACGACAUUAGACGAAUCAUCUGGAAAGAUGAAUCAAAGAAGGUAAUAAUCCUGUAGUCGAAAAUGUUGUCUCUCUUGAGUGGAUCCUGAGUACGACGGAGCACGUGAAAUUCCGUCGGAAUCUGGGAGGACCAUCUCCUAAGGCUAAAUACUCUCUAGUGACCGAUAGUGAACCAGUACCGUGAGGGAAAGGUGAAAAGCACCCCGGAAGGGGAGUGAAAUAGAACCUGAAACCGUGUGCUUACAAGUAGUCAGAGCCCGUUAAUGGGUGAUGGCGUGCCUUUUGUAGAAUGAACCGGCGAGUUACGAUUUGAUGCAAGGUUAAGCAGUAAAUGUGGAGCCGUAGCGAAAGCGAGUCUGAAUAGGGCGUUUAGUAUUUGGUCGUAGACCCGAAACCAGGUGAUCUACCCUUGGUCAGGUUGAAGUUCAGGUAACACUGAAUGGAGGACCGAACCGACUUACGUUGAAAAGUGAGCGGAUGAACUGAGGGUAGCGGAGAAAUUCCAAUCGAACCUGGAGAUAGCUGGUUCUCUCCGAAAUAGCUUUAGGGCUAGCCUCAAGUGAUGAUUAUUGGAGGUAGAGCACUGUUUGGACGAGGGGCCCCUCUCGGGUUACCGAAUUCAGACAAACUCCGAAUGCCAAUUAAUUUAACUUGGGAGUCAGAACAUGGGUGAUAAGGUCCGUGUUCGAAAGGGAAACAGCCCAGACCACCAGCUAAGGUCCCAAAAUAUAUGUUAAGUGGAAAAGGAUGUGGCGUUGCCCAGACAACUAGGAUGUUGGCUUAGAAGCAGCCAUCAUUUAAAGAGUGCGUAAUAGCUCACUAGUCGAGUGACACUGCGCCGAAAAUGUACCGGGGCUAAACAUAUUACCGAAGCUGUGGAUUGUCCUUUGGACAAUGGUAGGAGAGCGUUCUAAGGGCGUUGAAGCAUGAUCGUAAGGACAUGUGGAGCGCUUAGAAGUGAGAAUGCCGG